rnacentral:rRNA from 1 species
UGGGGAAUUUUUCGCAAUGGGGGAAACCCUGACGAAGCAACGCCGCGUGGAGGAUGAAGGCCUUCGGGUCGUAAACUCCUGUCGACCGGGACGAAAGUAGCACGACCUAACACGUCGAGUUAUUGACUGUACCGGUGGAGGAAGCUCCGGCUAACUCUGUGCCAGCAGCCGCGGUAAUACAGAGGGAGCGAGCGUUGUUCGGAAUUACUGGGCGUAAAGGGCGCGUAGGCGGUCUUGUAAGUCCCGUGUGAAAUCCCUCGGCUCAACUGAGGAACCGCACGGGAGACUGCUUGGCUUGAGUUCGGGAGAGGGACGUGGAAUUCCGGGUGUAGCGGUGAAAUGCGUAGAUAUCCGGAGGAACACCGGUGGCGAAGGCGGCGUCCUGGACCGACACUGACGCUGAGGCGCGAAAGCUAGGGGAGCAAACGGGAUUAGAUACCCCCGUAGUCC